rnacentral:rRNA from 1 species
GACAGAGGGUGCAAACGUUGUUCGGAAUUACUGGGCGUAAAGCGCGUGUAGGCUGCUUAGCAAGUCGGGUGUGAAAGCCCUGGGCUCAACCUAGGAAGUGCACUCGAAACUGCGGAGCUGGAGUCCUGGAGAGGAAGGCGGAAUUCUCGGUGUAGAGGUGAAAUUCGUAGAUAUCGAGAGGAACACCGGUGGCGAAGGCGGCCUUCUGGACAGUGACUGACGCUGAGACGCGAAAGCGUGGGGAGCAAACAGG